AGAGUUCCAAUUUACAUAUUUAUUAGAGUUUAGUCUUUAUUAUUGCUAAAGUUUCAAGUUUGCUAUUAUGUAAUAACGAUAUUAAUGAUAUCUUAUGUUUUGUUAUAGACAUACCACUGCAUCAACUUCUUUCGGAAUGUUCUAACAGUGGCUCAAAAGCCAAGAAUAUUUUUCACAACAUCCAUUUCUACCAUUGGCCUUUCAACGGUUCCUGCCUGAUGUUAGUCUCCCUGGUGAUAUUCGUUGGGAUAGCGCAGCAUCCACGGUAACAUCCUCUGCUUCUCCGCAUCGAACGAUCAGGAUUUUCAGGUUUAACCCUUUCCGUGCCCAUUGUCAGGAUCUCAUUCACGUGCCCAGGUGCUACUUGAAUGGGAGAAAGACAUUGGGCACGAUGACCUAGAAUUAAGUAAUGUAAUAAUUUCUCAGCGACUGACGAUGUGUUAGUGUAUCGUGCACGACGUAUUUUCCACAUUAUGUGUGUGUGUGUUGUUAGGCCGUGGAAUUGCGUCGCUUUUUCUCAUUCGUUAAAACUUCAAAUAUUAAAAAUGUCGAGACAUAUAUCGAUUCAAUUUACGUCUCGAUACAAUCACAAUUUGUGAUAAUAUCAUCCACGCGAUUAAGUGUAACCACGCUUUUUAUAUUGCCAUAAAUUACAAUUAUAAUUCCAAGUUUACUUACAUUUAUUUUAACGAUAUCAUUUCCUCGGACGUGUUUUAUCACGUUUUACGCAAUGGUCACUAGCCUUCGUCAGUCGAUUUCAGGAAAAAGGUAAGUACCUUAGAGUGUGCAUGUUGU
rnacentral:misc_RNA from 1 species